UACGUAGGGGGCGAGCGUUGUCCGGAUUUAUUGGGCGUAAAGAGCGUGUAGGCGGCCAGGUAGGUCUGCUGUGAAAACUCGAGGCUCAACCUCGAGACGUCGGCGGAAACCAUCUGGCUAGAGUCCGGAAGAGGAGAGUGGAAUUCCUGGUGUAGCGGUGAAAUGCGUAGAUAUCAGGAGGAACACCGAUGGCGAAGGCAGCUACCUGGCCCUAUACUGACGCUGAGGUGCGAAAGCGUGGGGAGCGAACGGG
rnacentral:rRNA from 1 species